CAGUAGCCACGGUAAUACGAAGGGUGCAAGCGUUAAUCGGAAUUACUGGGCGUAAAGCGCGCGUAGGUGGUUUGGUAAGAUGGAUGUGAAAUCCCCGGGCUCAACCUGGGAACUGCAUCCAUAACUGCCUGACUAGAGUACGGUAGAGGGUGGUGGAAUUUCCUGUGUAGCGGUGAAAUGCGUAGAUAUAGGAAGGAACACCAGUGGCGAAGGCGACCACCUGGACUGAUACUGACACUGAGGUGCGAAAGCGUGGGGAGCAAACAGGAUUAGAUACCCGGGUAGUCCCUGUCUCUUAUAC
rnacentral:rRNA from 1 species